AGAGGAUGGAGAUAUUGGCUCGCCUCAAUUUGAAGACUUGGUUAUAUAUAUAAUAUAUAUAGAAUCACAGAUCAUUGAGAUCACUUUAUAUAUAAAAAGUAGCCAUGUAAUCUGAUUGAGCCGCGUCAAUAUCUCCUCCCAUCUC
rfam:Macleaya cordata isolate BLH2017 scaffold8645, whole genome shotgun sequence.